rnacentral:rRNA from 1 species
GACGAACGCUGGCGGCGCGCCUAACACAUGCGAGUCGAACGAGCGAGCGAGAGCUUGCUUUCUCGAGCGAGUGGCGAACGGGUGAGUAACGCGUGAGGAACCUGCCUCAAAGAGGGGGACAACAGUUGGAAACGACUGCUAAUACCGCAUAAGCCCACGGCUCGGCAUCGAGCAGGGGGAAAAGGAGCAAUCCGCUUUGAGAUGGCCUCGCGUCCGAUUAGCUAGUUGGUGGGGUAACGGCCCACCAAGGCGACGAUCGGUAGCCGGACUGAGAGGUUGACCCGCCACAUUUGGACUGCGACACGGCCCAGACUCCUACGGGAGGCAGCAGUGGGGAAUAGUGCACAAUGGGGGCAACCCUGAUGCAGCGACGCCGCGUGGAGGAAGAAGGUCUUCGGAUUGUAAACUCCUGUUGUUGGGGAAGAUAAUGACGGUACCCAACAAGGAAGUGACGGCUAACUACGUG